rnacentral:tRNA from 1 species
ACCUGGGUGACUCAGUCAGUUGAGCAUCUGACUUUGACUCAGGUCAUGAUCUCACGGUUCAUGGGUUCAAAUCCCAUGUUGGGCU